GACGUAGGGGGCGAGCGUUGUCCGGAUUUAUUGGGCGUAAAGCGUGCGUAGGCGGCUGCGCAAGUCGGGUGUGAAACCCCGGGGCUCAACCCCGGAACUGCAUCCGAUACUGCGUGGCUAGAGGUAGGUAGGGGAGAUCGGAAUUCCUGGUGUAGCGGUGAAAUGCGCAGACUAUCAGGAGGAACACCGGUGGCGAAGGCGGAUCUCUGGGCCUUACCUGACGCUCAGGCACGAAAGCUAGGGGAGCGAACAGG
rnacentral:rRNA from 1 species